rnacentral:rRNA from 1 species
CUUCCGUAGGGGAACCUGCGGAAGGAUCAUUAAAGAAAAGGAUGCUCAGCGCCCGACCUCCAACCCUUUGUUGUUAAAACUACCUUGUUGCUUUGGCGGGACCGCCGGUCUCGAGCCGCUGGGGAUUCGUCCCAGGCGAGCGCCCGCCAGAGUUAAACCAAACUCUUGUUAUUUAACCGGUCGUCUGAGUUAAAAUUUUGAAUAAAUCAAAACUUUCAACAACGGAUCUCUUGGUUCUCGCAUCGAUGAAGAACGCAGCGAAAUGCGAUAAGUAAUGUGAAUUGCAGAAUUCAGUGAAUCAUCGAAUCUUUGAACGCACAUUGCGCCCCUUGGUAUUCCGAGGGGCAUGCCUGUUCGAGCGUCAUUACACCACUCAAGCUAUGCUUGGUAUUGGGCGUCGUCCUUAGUUGGGCGCGCCUUAAAGACCUCGGCGAGGCCACUCCGGCUUUAGGCGUAGUAGAAUUUAUUCGAACGUCUGUCAAAGGAGAGGAACUCUGCCGACUGAAACCUUUAUUUUUCUAGGUUGACCUCGGAUCAGGUAGGGAUACCCGCUGAACUUAAGCAUAUCAAUAAGCCGGAGGAAG